UAUGAAUCCAUAGAAGUAUGUAUAUAUGCACAUAUAUACAUGUUUGUGUGUAUCUAUGCAUGCAUGGACAUGCACGUGUGUAUGUGUACGUAUCUGUGUGUGUGUGUGUGUGUGUGUGUGUAUGGAGGGGCAGGGCCACUGGCAAAAGACUUGGCUUUAGAAGUAGAGAGGCUCUGACAGGGAGGUUUCUUCCUAGCGGCAGGGCAAAGGGAGCAGAGAUGCUUGGAAGGGAAAGAAGGAACCCGAUUUUCUCUGGAGAGGGCCCCCAAAGCCCGUGCAAGGCUCGUUCUUGGGCUGCUGACCUCAGCAGCAGAGAUGGGGCAAAGUUAGAGAGGCCAAAUGCAACCAAGGGUCAGCCUGCAAGCAGAGAAAAGUGCUCAGUUAAAAAAUUACUCGAGCCACCCUUUGGACUGACUGAAGGCCUUGCUCUUCCUCCUGCCCCACAGGCUAUCAACUGGUGUAUGGCUUAAUUAUUGACGUUUAAAAGUGAGUUAACUGCUUUCUUACAGAUGAAUCGCAAUUAAUAAAUGUGGAACGAAUGAGAGACGAAGACGAUGAGCACCAGAGGACUGCAGGGAGCACAGCUGAGGCAACAUCACCAGAGGAUAGUAAAAUUAGCAGACAGAGAUCUAAGCACAAACAGUGUCUCUGUGUAGCCUUAAAGCAUCUCUUUGAAUAUUUAAUGGUUACAAAGGAAAAACAGUGAGUUGAUGGGGGAGAACCCUGGCAGGCACCACCCUAACCAAGAGAUCAAAGUUGGCAUGACCAGGCACAAGGCACACUAACAGCCCACACCCACUGAUCUGGCCCACCGAAAAUGCACAUCACUUCUGUGGCAUUGCCAUGGAAUUUCCAAAAAGGCAUUACCUCAGUCCAAUGCAGAGAAGGCGUCAGGCAGACCUAGGCGGAGAGACUGUCCAAGAGCGACAGACCCAUCCUCUUAAAAAGCCGGCCCUGACACAGAAAGGAGACAGAGAGAGGUGACAGCCAAAUGCACGUGGGAGCUGGGAACAGAGGAGGGCGCUGGGGGGGGCCUGCCUGCCGUCCAGCUCUCGAGACCACGGCGAGGUGAGUCUCAGCUCUCAUAAUCGCACUCUGAUUCAUGGAAUGCCGGCAUGAGAAGAGGCUGGGGGUGGGGAGGCUGCUUUCGCAACUCUUCUAUAAGUCUAAAAUUAUCUCAAAAUGGGACACUUUCAAAAGUGAGUUCAUGAAUAGAAAUAGGCAGUGGCAGUGUAUGUGUCACCCUCUAAGCAUAUUCCAUGGCCCUUGCUAGGAUCCGACUUGUGCUGAUUUAGGAACAAAUACUGCAGGUGAGAUGACACCACCAUGAGCACUUUCUGCAGGGUCUUCUGGACAGGCACGGAAGGGGCUACCUGAGCCCUGGGGUGAGAGGCAUUUAGAGUCUGACGUUGACACAUCUCAAACCAGACCUCUCUCAGACAGCCCAGGCCCUGUGGCCACCAGGUGUGUGCUUACACAGGCCAGAAAUGCUUCACCCCUACAGUCAUGUCUGGGUUCUCCACAGCUCCUCCCAGACCCCGAGGAGGCGCCUGGAAUGUAACCUGGCCAAAACGGAGCUCCAGAUACCACUCACCCACAAGCCAGCUUCUCCUCUGUCUUCCCUAGGUCAGAAAAUGGUCCCAAACCAAUAACUCAUCAUCUUUUCUUUUUGAGACAGGGCCUCACUCUGUCAUCCACUGCUAGAGUGCAGUGGCACAAUCAUGGCUCAUUGUACCCUCAACAUACCCAGCUCAAGCGAUUCUCCCACUUCAGCCUCCCAAGUAGCUGAGACUACAAGUGUGCACCACCACACCUGGCUAAUUUUUUUUUUUUUUUUUUUUUUUUUUAGAGAUGCAGUCUUGCUAUGUUGCCCAGGCUGGUCUUGAACUCCUGGGCUUAAGCGAUCCUCUCACCUCAGCCUCCGAAAGUGCUGGGACUAGAGGCAUGAGCCACCGCCCCUGGCCUAAACAUCAUCUUUGAUUCUCUGUUUCUUUCAUGCUCUCCUGUUUGCUCUGCCUCCAAAAUCUAUCCUUAGUCCAUCACUUUUUCCCCCUCUGCCCCUUCGUCUCUUCUCCACCAGGCAGACAACUGAGCCUUUUAAACCUCCAUCAGAUUUGUCCUCUCCUGGCUUGGACCCCUGCAAUGACUUCUUACCUGGGUCCAGCCUCCUCUGCCCCUCCUGCCACCUGCAGACCUUCGAAAGGUCCUCUUUGUCUCCUUCUGGGAGCUGCACCCCUGCCCUGUCUUCCUGCUAAGCACUGGCUGCUUCCCUCCCCUCGUCCAGACUCAACCCCACGGACACCUCCCCCACUGCUGCUCGCUCGCUCUCCCUUCUCAUCUCAUCCUCUUUCCUCUGCAGUGCUUAUUCCUGCCUGGAAUGCUCUUCACUGAUCCUCGUGUUUAUCAACCCCACUCUUCUAAUGCCCAUCCGUGAGAGCAGGGCCUUCUCUUUCCCUGUUUUGUAUCUCAAAUCUAGAACAGCAUCUUGCACACAGUAGAUGUUCAAUAGACACUCCUUAAGUUAAUUACUUAGUGAAUUAGCCACUUUCCCUUCUUUAACUGUAGCCCUCCCUUGGGGAGGAGCAGGAGCUGGGCAGGCGAGAUGGCCCAGGGGUUUUCUGGAGGGAAAGAUAGCAAUAGAAACUGUUGGCCCUGUGGCUGAGUCUGUGGGGAAUGGAGAGUCAUUUGGGGUGACAUAGGGUCACCUGGAGCCUGCUAAUUCCUCAGAAGUGGUGGAACUCUUCCCACCUGUUAAUGAAUGGCCCGGUGUGGGAACUGGGACCCCAGCCCUGUGCUUCCCUGGAGCCAGUCUGUACCUGGCCUCAGGUAAUCAUGCCACAGGGAAUCUGCUCCACAUCCUGGGAAGUGAAGAAAGAAGAAAUCAACCAAACAGCAGGGUGCAAAGGAGGGGGCUCGCCUUGGGGACUGGAAUGAAUGCUCCUCUGUGGUUUUACUGUUUCAGCCACUUCUGUGGACACUUAGGGUGUGGAGGGAAUGAAUUAGGCGAGUCGUGAUGGCAGCAGGCCACAGAAAUUAAAGGGAUGGCAUUUGUUGAGUGGGUACUCGGGGACUUCUGGGCUGAAGUAAGAGGAGGCUAAGCCCGGCAAGGAGCAGGGAUCACAACAGUUCCAGGGCACCUGGCUGGCUGGCCCAGCCAUGAGAUUUGAAACCUCGUCUCCUGGUGCUGCCAGAUCCAUGGAGCCUGAGUUCUAGGUCUCUGUUCAUCCCUAACAUUCCUGGGUGACCAGCUGAUCAGCCAGCCACAGGCAGGUGGCAGAGUCCUGGUCACAGAUGCAACCGGCCCAGGGACAUCUGUGAGCCUGGAGAAAGCACACAUCAAUGGCAAAGGCCGGGACGCAGCCAGCUGGGAGAGUGGCAGCCCCGGCCUCCUUCCCUCCUCCAGGGAGCAUUGCUGCUGUGGUUUAGGAACACUCGUUUGCAGUUUACUUAUUGACCAGCCAAAGUCUUGACAGUUUUAAAGAACACUCUUUAACUUAUCUCAAUGUCCAAUUUCAGCCCUCCCAGUUCUGGCGAACCUUCCUCUGUCCCGACCUUGGUUAUUCAUUCCAUGUGGGCUCCUCUUUCUUCUUAGCCUCUCCACCUACAUUGUUCUGGAUGCUUCUCAAGCUUUUCUCCUGCUCAGCUGGACCUCUUUUGUGCGGUGUCAGUCUGAUGUUUCGCAGCUUCCAGGCAUUAUUUUCAGGGGUCUUUUGCAAGUCUCCUAUUUUUGCCCUCAUUAAAAAAUAUUGUGGGCUGCUCUGGUCUUAAGGUUGCUGUGCCCUCUUUCAUUUCCUUGUAAGUAGGUUUCUGCCAUCCUCUGAAAUUUCAAGUGGGGAGCCACCUGGAGGCUAGGUGAACAGGGCAAGGGCAUUGCCCCUUCCUGUGGGAGCCCCUCCCUAGGUCACACGUGACUUUUCUUCCACUUGCUCAGAAGUCUUUCCAUUUAACUGCCUUUCCUCUUCAGCAGCUGCUGAGGGUUCCUGGUUGUGGGAGAAUGUUUCAGACAUGGCCCUCUGUCACCUUCUCUGAAGGCAGUGGCCUGUAACAAGAUGAAAGUGGAUAAAGAUAAAAAAGAUUCAAAAAAUGGUAAAAGUACAGAAUGAGACAUUUUGACAAGGCUUAUAUGAAAAUUUUGAAGUAACUCCGUCAAAUGCCUACAUUAAAUGUAAAAGUGGUAUAUACUUUAAAAUUGCCAACUAAUAUGUAAAGUGACCCAGUUCUGUUUUCUUCCAGAUUCAGAAGGGAAUUGGGCCAUUCCUUCUCCAAAGCAGAACGUACUGCAGCUGUGAGAGUUCUAGGAGAAAAUUCAGACUGUGUCAAGAUAUCCCUACCUCCGAAGUUGUCAGGUUUGCGGACCUCGGGGUGAAGCGUGGGGCUGCUGGAGGCGUCCAGCCCUGACUGUGUGUCCAGGACAAUGAGCCCCGAAGUGAGCGGGCCGCGUGCUGUUGGCGCAGCCAACUUCACGCCCUCUGUCCAGGGAGGACUAAGGGACAAGCUGCAGCAGGCGCAGAGGACGCUGUUGGUGUCUGGGAGGCCGCUGGUACAGGGCGUUGGGCGUGGCUCCUUUCCAAGUGCCUUGCACUUUCCAGGCUGGGCUGCAGAAGCAGGCUCGGGGGCGACUCGCGUGGGGACUGAAGCAGCCAGCCUUGGCACCUGCCCACAGCAAAUAACUGCCUUGACUUGAUCUGGUUUUUUUGAAGAAAGUUUUAUUCAUACCCAUUAUGUGCGCAUGUGUAAAUUCAAAUCCACGGCUUGCCGGAGCCUGGGCUUUCUCGAACAUCAGUUGCUCCCAUGCUACCAUUUUGCAGUUUGCCCGUCUCCAGUAGAUGAUUUCUGAAUAUUUUAAUCAACUCAUUAUUAACCAUUCACACGUCUACCUUAGCCUCAUUUUAAGCAAUUGCACCUGUGGGUUUCACAGGCCUGCUGUAUUUUUAGUACAUAUUAAAUAAAGCAUGUCUGUUGGGGCGUGCUGUGCUUGCCCACCUGCCACGUCGAGUCAUUGUAGCCGCACGGGGGCAGAGAGGACGAAGCCUGAGUCCGGGUGCCGAAGGCGUUGGUCUUGCCCGGGCUUUGGCCCCAGCCGCUGCCAAAGACCUAGAGGAAAGAAUUUCAGCGUUAGGGCUUCAUACGCCUACCGUGGAAUCAGGACUUCGACUCAGCGCUCCAAUUACUGGGGCGGUGAAAGGCGUAUCCCCGCGGCGCGGCGCCUGAGGGAGCCUCUGGAGCAGAUUCCCAUGCACAGACCCUCGCGGUGAUGGGGACGGAGGGGGAAACCCAGGCUCCCGAGCAAGCUGGGGCUGGCUUGGGGCCAAGGAGUGUCC
rnacentral:lncRNA from 1 species